GCCGCACGCAUCAGUGAGUAGCAGCGCCGCAAUCCUAUCUCGACGACGCUCUCUGUGGCCCAGCAAAAUGCUUUGACACGCGAUGUGGUGGACGGGGAUCAGUGGCCGUUCCUUACUCGGCGCAUUGCUUGAACAGUGGAUGUCAGCCGACAGCGUGCUUUCUUGCCAGUACCUCCUCCUGGCCUGGUGAACCUGGUGAUGUCCACAUGCAGCCAAUGCUGGUGCGAACAUGAGUUAUGUAUUAAUGCAGCACCAUUUCGAAGGGGUCCUACGUAAUGAAAGUUAUGUGCAAUCCGGUGCAUCUAAGGCACGAGCUGAGGCCUCAUCUUUAUCCACUCCAGUUCUACCCAAGUACCGUGGUGUUGAGUU